GAGAUUUAAUGGAGAACGGACGGCCUAAAUCAACCUAGCGAGAUCUAACGGUUGGAAAAAUUGGUAUAAAAACGAAAAAUUUUAGGGUUUCUCUUCAUUUGUGAGAGUAGCCAAAAAAGAGAGAGGGAGAAGGAGAGAGGAACCGCUCAGGGAGAGAAAAGGGAGAAGGUUGUCGUACGGGGGAAGCCGAGAGGAAGAAAGAAGGAGAGGAAAAGAAUAGGGAGGUCGGAGAAGGAGAAGAGGAAGGAGAAAAAAAAAAGUGGCCGAGCUGGAGAGGGAAGAGAGAGAAGAAGAAAGAAGGAGAGUAAAGGAAGAGGGAGGCCGAAAAAGAAGAAGGGAAAGGAGAAAAAAAGGAAGAGAAGAGAGAAGAAGAGAGGUGUGGUUGAACGGGAAAGAGAAGGGGGAGCCGAGAACGGCCACCACAAGGGAAGAAAAGGGAAGAAGAGAGAGGCAGAGGCGGGAGAACGGUGGAACCCGAGCCGAAAGGAAGGAGAAAAAGGAAACGGCUGAGGCACCGUGCGAUGAUGGAGAUCGACGCGAGAAGGGUUAAAAAGGUUUCGUUUUUUGUCUUUUCUUCCCUUAAUUUCCUUGAAUCUUUUCUAUUUUAUACUAAUUGAUUUUUAGGUGUGAAAAUUCAUCAUUCAAAUCUCAAGCAAGCUAGGGAGCCACAGGGUGGCCAAGAGAAGAAACCACCAGGAGCCAAACCGAGGCUGAAUCGCCCCACGCCGAAAAGGUAAAGCUUUUUUUGUGUGUUUUUAAUGGCUGUUGAGCGACGGGGGAGUGUUGGUUGUUCUCGAGCUGGCUGCGCGAGCUCGGCCGGGUCACCCACCCGUGCGGGAACCGAGGAGCCUUCCUUGGGAGUGGGAAACCGACCCACUAGUGGAAGUCGAGGGGCCUUCCUCAGGAAUAAAGACCGGAUUCACCCUUUUGGGAUUCCAAUUCACUGUUCGAGAAGUUGAAAAGUCUUCCUUGAAUACGAAAAUUCGAUCUGCUGAACGGGAAGCCGAAAGGCCUUCUUCAGAAAAUUAGGACGUCCAGGCGGAUCCAAGAAGAUUGUUGCGCAGGAGUAUAAGUAUUUUUGAUUCUGAACAUGGAUUCAGAUUUUGAAAUUGUAUGUAUUUUAUUAAUUUAUGUGUAUUUUAAAAUUUGAAUUGAUACUGAUUUAAUUUUCAAUGAAAAAUAGAACCCGAACUUAUAAGUAGUGAACCUAAGUUAUUGAAAA